CUGGGGUCGGUUCCCUCUGCUCCGCCGGUACGUCAGGGAGGUUCUGGUGGAGACCGGGACCCUGAUGAUGUCCCAGAGAGACCCGCCGGGACCGGGACCAGGACCAGGACCAGGACCGGGACCGGGGGCGGCAGAGCAGCUGCUGGUGUCCACCCCAGCUCCGACCCCAGUACCCAGCCCAGUCCCGGACCGGACAGUCCCCAGAGCCCCCCUGCAGACCCCCCCUCCGGAGCCCCAGCCCGGAGCCAGCAGAACCCUGGCCCUCACACACAGUGGCUGACGUGGAGCUGGUGGCCACGCCCACCCCCACCCCGGAGCCACGCCCCCUGGAUGACGACCCGCCAAUCCUGGCUGAGGGGACCCCGACUCACACUCACUGGUGAAACCUGCAUCUGAGGGGAACUUGCCCCUCCCCCCUGCUCCUCCCCCUGCCUCCCCCCCGGCCCUCCCCCCUCAGGACCACAGUGUGUGUACUAGUACGGCUGGUAGUACUAGUACUGCUGGUAGUACUAGUACUGCUGGUAUCAGCCUGAGCACCAGCAGCAGCAGCCUGGUGGCGGCCGGGGGGGCGGAGCCUGCAGUGAGACACAUCUCAGAGGGAGAGCUGCUGGUCAGCUGCUACUACCCCACAGAAGACGGCAGUUUCUCCAGUUCUCUGCGGGAGCUUCAGGAGAUGGACUACGACCCUCCUAGUGAAGGACAGGUCGGAGGUCAUGACCCCAUGCUGACCCUGCUGGCCAGGAUCGACCAGGAAGUCAAACUCUCUGAGCCCCGCCCCCAACCUGAGAGGUAACACACACACACACACACACACACACACACACACACACACACACACACACACACACACACACACACAGCUCCUGUAACCUUGGAGACGGUGGUCAAUGUGAUCUGAUGACCUCUGACCUCUUGUGUUCUCCAGGGGUCCUGGGGGGAGGAGGAGGAGGAGGAGGGGGAGGAGGUGAGCAUCGGGGAGGUCAGGGGGGGUCACACAUCCUCCUAGCGGACCCCCGGCAACAACGGACUACAAACUCCCAGAGGACUACAAACCCCAGCAGGAGUAGGAGGGGGGGAGGAGGAGGAGGAGGAGGAGGAGAAGGAGGAGAAGGGGAGCAGGAGAAGAGCAACACCGCGACGGCAGGGUUACGCUACACACCGACCAAUCAGGGCCCGGUAACCAUGGGAGACCUAAAGGCCGAGCCAAUCGGUGAAGCUGUGAUGAACUCCUCGAUUCAGGCCGACCAAUCACACUCACCCCAACCGAUGGAGAGCACACCGAAGUCCUCCAGGCCUCUAGAGGCUCUCAGAGCACAACCCUACCCUGGUGAGACCCUACGACCCCACCCUGCCAGGGGAACAGGAACAGGAAGUGAUGCGUGGCCGCAGGAAGCUUCAGGUCCUUCUUCCCUCGCUGAUCAACGAGGAAGAGGAGGAUGAGGAUAACUGAUGAUGUCAUCGGCCAGAGGGGAGGGGGGAGGUUUUACUACUAUACGAUAAUGUUUUUUAUUGAUAUUUUCAAAUAAAUGCUUGUCUAAAUUUGACGCUUGACUGAUGAUGAUCGUGUUCAUUCUGGUAAUCUCAAAUAAACAUUUAAAUAUCCGUUUAUAGUUAGGUUAUAAUGGAGUAGGGAACCCAAAAAUGUAUUUUGGGGUUUAAUUUUAAACAUGGUCACAUGUCUUAUAUGAUGAAGGAGAG
ensembl:lncRNA